rnacentral:rRNA from 1 species
GAUGAACGCUGGCGGCGUGGAUUAGGCAUGCAAGUCGGACGGUAGGGCUUUAUCGUAAGAUAGAGUUUGAGAGUGGCGAACGGGUGAGUAACACGUAGGAAUCUACCCUUAAGACGGGGACAACCCAGGGAAACUUGGGCUAAUACCGGAUGAGAGUGCGAGAGAUUGCAUUUAAAAGGAUGGCGAAAGUUGUCGCUUAGGGAUGAGCCUGCGUCCUAUUAGUUAGUUGGUGAGGUAACGGCUCACCUAGGCAAUGAUAGGUAGGCGGCCUUAACGGGUGGUCGCCCACACUGGGAUUGAGAUACGGCCCAGACUCCUACGGGAGGCAGCAGUCGAGAAUAGUCUACAAUGGUCGGAAGACUGAUAGUGCGACGCCGCGUGAACGAUGAAUCCCUUCGGGGUGUAAAGUUCUUUUAUAUGUGAGCAGUGCUUCUUAUAUUAACAGUAUGGGGAGAGAGAUAUUAGCAUAUGAAUAAGCAACGGCUAACUCCGUGCCAGCAGCCG